CAGACUUGACAUCCUAAGAAUCUUUGAGAGAUCAGAGAGUGCAAGUAUUGGAACUUAGUGAC
rnacentral:rRNA from 1 species